rnacentral:rRNA from 1 species
GACGAACGCUGGCGGCGUGCUUAACACAUGCAAGUCGAACGGAAAGGCCCCCACCUUUUGGUGGGGGUGCUCGAGUGGCGAACGGGUGAGUAACACGUGGGUGAUCUGCCCUGUACUUCGGGAUAAGCUUGGGAAACUGGGUCUAAUACCGGAUAGGACCAUGGUUUAGUGUCUCAUGGUGGAAAAAUAUUGUUUUGGUGCAGGAUGAGCUCGCGGCCUAUCAGCUUGUUGGUGGGGUAAUGGCCUACCAAGGCGUCGACGGGUAGCCGGCCUGAGAGGGUGGACGGCCACAUUGGGACUGAGAUACGGCCCAGACUCCUACGGGAGGCAGCAGUGGGGAAUAUUGCACAAUGGGCGCAAGCCUGAUGCAGCGACGCCGCGUGGGGGAUGACGGCCUUCGGGUUGUAAACUCCUUUCGUUAGGGACGAAGCCGCACCUUUUUUGGGUGUGGUGACGGUACCUUUGUUAAGAAGCACCGGCUAACUACGUGCCAGCCGCCGCAGUAA